AUUAAGAUAGGUAGAAUUACAAAUCUACACUGAAUACAAAUCUAUAAUGAAGGGUUUAAAGAAUUACCAACAGUAGCAGCCGAUGAAAUCGUGGAUCGAUUUCCCAAAUUAGACCAACCGUUGAAUCCCUCUUUCCAUUUCUCUUUCUUUCUUUCUUCCCUUCGCUGUCCCCCUUUUCUAAUUUUCUCCAUUUCUAACGGGGGGAUCACGUCCAUUUUUGGGAAGAAAUUUGUCAACAUCAACAACAAUAACAAGAAGAUAUUUGCCACAUUACGUUUAUGAAUCUUUGAGGUUAAAAAAAAAAAAAAAAAAAAAAAUCCCAAUCAACACUUUUUCUUGCAUAGUUGAACCUUCCACGAAGUUCCUAAACAGAUUCUUCAAUUAUUAACAUUAUUGGGAUAUUAAUUUGAAACAUUUUGGUUGUUUCUUCAAGAUCAGGAAAAAAAAUUAGCUGGGAGCAACGGUUUUAACUUAUUAGAUUUGUGAGAGCUUGGAUUUGGGGGAAAAUUGUCAACAUCAACAAGAAAAAGAAGGAGAUAUUUGCCACACUACAUUUGUGAAUCUGUGAGGUCAUAAAGGAAAGUUUUAAGAUGACAUCUUGCCUCCUAUAUCAUUUUUAAGCAACUGGCCGGGAUUUGUUAUGAAGGACAUUAAAGAUUACCUAUUUUCUGUCUGUUAAGAAGUGGACCUUGUAAGGGAGGCAAGGAUACUUGUUAGAGGCAUUAGUUGUCAUUGUUGAGCUGUAAUGCUGAUUUGUACCAUAGAGAUUGCACCUCAAGAAAACCAUUUAUUUAUGGGUUAAUACAAUUAUAAUAUUGUCUCUGAUAUUGUAUACUAAGAAGGCAGAAUUACUUGGGUAUCUAUAUAGAAUGUACUAUCAGACUUGAAAAGUUAUAAACAUCGUUAAAUACAGGUUGUCUUUAUUUUAGUCUGAAAUAUGUUGCUUUUGCAAUAAUGUGAAGAAUUGUCAAUCCUU